CGGUUAAGUCCGCUAACGAGCGCAACCCUCGCUGUGUGUUAUAUGUGUCACACGGGACUGCCGGUCUUAAGCCGGAGGAAGGUGGGGAUGAUGUCAAGUCAGCAUGGCCUUUAUAUCCUGGACUACACACACGCUACAAUGGCCAACACAAUAGGUUGCUAAGCCGCGAGGUGGCGCCAAUCCAUAAAGUUGGUCUCAGUUCAGAUUGUAGGCUGCAACCCGCCUGCAUGAAGAUGGAGUUGCUAGUAACCGCAGGUCAGCUAUACUGCGGUGAAUACGUUCCCGGGGCUU
rnacentral:rRNA from 1 species